CCCAACUGACGAGUUCCAAAUAAGACGAAACGCGUGUCCUUGGC
rnacentral:hammerhead_ribozyme from 1 species